GUGGGGAAUCUUGCGCAAUGCGCGAAAGCGUGACGCAGCAACGCCGCGUGGGGGAAGACGGCCUUCGGGUUGUAAACCCCUUUCAGGAGGGACGAAGCUCCGGUCGCGAAUAGCGGUCCGGAGUGACGGUACCUCCACAAGAAGCCCCGGCUAACUACGUGCCAGCAGCCGCGGUAAUACGUAGGGGGCUAGCGUUGUCCGGAAUCAUUGGGCGUAAAGAGCGCGUAGGCGGCCAGAUAAGUCCGGUGUGAAAGUCACAGGCUCAACCUGUGAAUGCCGCUGGAAACUGUCUGGCUAGAGUCCGGAAGGGGCGAGUGGAAUUCCUGGUGUAGCGGUGAAAUGCGCAGAUAUCAGGAGGAACACCAAUGGCGAAGGCAGCUCGCUGGAACGGUACUGACGCUGUGGCGCGAAAGCGUGGGGAGCAAACAGGAUUAGAAACCCCAGUAGUCC
rnacentral:rRNA from 1 species